rnacentral:tRNA from 1 species
GCGCCUGUAGCUCAGUUGGAUAGAGUAGCGGGGUCCUAACCCGAAGGUCGCAGGUUCAAAUCCUGCCAGGCGCG